rnacentral:lncRNA from 1 species
GUUGACUAUGUUUGAACUUUUGAUGAGUGUUGAACUUUCAUGAUUUGUGAAAUGUUUAUGCUUUAUCAUAUGGACUUGAAAUUUUGCACAUUGAUUCUUGACACUUUGAAGUUUGUUUUGGCUUUGGUUUGAGUCAUUUAUCAUGUGUCAUCUCUGUUUUAGGAUUGCCUUAAGUUGAUGCAUCAAUUUGUGCUUCCUUUGAGCUUGUUUAUGCUUACAUUGCCUUAUGGAAUUUAUUUUCCAUGCUUAUACUUGUCCAAAUGCCUUGAUUUUUGGUGUGUUGAUC